UCUGUCUGUCCCUGCAUGACCCCACAAAGCUGCUUCACCCCAGCUGAGGGAGCCAGGUGCUGAUGCCAGUGGACAUGCACAUCCCACCAUCCAUGGGUGUCCCCUCGUGGUGACAACGCCUCCGAGUGACACCAUGCUUGUACCAGCACCAGUGUGCCAUCCUGCCUGGCGGGGUUAAACAUUAACAGGGACUGCUGCCAGGGCAAGGCCAGAGGCACAUAUAUGGGACGGGUUGCCCAGCACUGAGACAUUCCUGGCUUCACACCCAACUCUGCUCCGAGCACAGCUCCUCCAGAGGCUUGCAUGGAAUCGCUAUUUAUUUUAGCUCAUCUCAACCUGCAGUGUGGCUGCAUGGCCGAAAUCAGCUGUAGCAGCCGAGAUCCUGGAAGAGGUGCUACAUUUCAGAAUGCUCUUCUAUAUCCAGCAUCAUUAACCCAAGGAAAUGUCAUUGGAAAGAGACUUCGGAUAGCACAGUACACAGGGAUGAGGGUGGUGGGGAGAAGCAGCAGCUCAAAGGGAAGCCUCACCCCAUGCACAGCAGCAUAAGGGCUGUGGAGACACUGCCAUUCGCCAGUCAUCUCUGCAGCCCUGGAAAGAAGCACAGGAUCCUGGAAGUGCUGUGGAAGAAUCUGCACUGUAAAUUUUAAAUGGAAGGCAGCCCUGAAGUGGCAAUAUAUGUGUUUGCAUGCACAGCCCCAUGCCAGCAUUCUCACCUUUGCAUUUUGGCAUCUAGAAAUUGUAUUUGAAUUCUGGGUGUGGAAGGUGUGUCCAUUUGCCCAUUCGUCCACCAUCUGGUCCCAGGGCCAUCCUGUGGGUCCAUUGCGGUCCCCUCCAUGGGAUGGAAAUGAAGAGCUGGUGCAAGAAAGCUCUAGCAGAUGAAUGUGUGAGUUUCUUCGUCCCAGCAGUGCUGCUCCUCACCCUACACUGUGGGUUUGAAAGGGUUUGUAAGCUCCUGGCACCACCUCUGAAGAAAAACAAAGACCCAGCCCCGGAACGGAGCUGUGGGUAGAAAAGCAGAUGCUUCAUCACUCCUCUUUGCUGGAGGAUGGCUGGGAAGAGGAGGCCCAGCAAAUGAGAGUAUAUUUCAUGUUGACUUUGCUAUUUGGUGCAAAGCCAGAAAG